GAUGAACGCUGGCGGCGUGCCUAAUACAUGCAAGUCGAGCGAACAGACGAUGUGCUUGCUCCUCUGACGUUAGCGGCGGACGGGUGAGUAACACGUGGAUAACCGACCUAUAAGACUGGGAUAACUUCCUGAAACCGGUACUGGUACCGGCCAAUAUAUUGAGCGGGAUGGUUCAAUAGUUAAAGACGGUUUUUGUGUCCCUUACAUAUGGAUUCGCGCCGCAUUAGCUAGUUGGUAAGGUAACGGCUUACUAAGGCAACGAUGCGUAACCGAGCUGAGAAGGGGAACGGCGACACUGGAGCUGAGACGCGGUCCAGACUCCUACGGGAGGCAGCAGUAGGGAAUCUUCCGAAAUGGGCGGAAGACUGACGGAGGAACGCCGCGUGAGUGAUGAAGGUCUUCGGAUCGUAAGACUGUGUUAUUAGGGAAGACCAAAUGUGUCAGUAACUAUGCACGUCUUGACGGUACCUAAUCAGAAAGCCACGGCUAACUACGUG
rnacentral:rRNA from 1 species